GAUGAACGCUGACAGAAUGCUUAACACAUGCAAGUCUACUUGAACUUCGGUUUGGGUGGCGGACGGGUGAGUAACGCGUAAAGAACUUGCCUCACAGAUAGGGACAACAUUUGGAAACGAAUGCUAAUACCUGAUAUUAUGAUUUUAGGGCAUCCUAGAAUUAUGAAAGCUAUAUGCACUGUGAGAGAGCUUUGCGUCCCAUUAGCUAGUUGGAGAGGUAACGGCUCACCAAGGCGAUGAUGGGUAGCCGGCCUGAGAGGGUGAUCGGCCACAAGGGGACUGAGACACGGCCCGUACUCCUACGGGGGGCAGCAGUGGGAAAUAUUGGACAAUGGACCAAGAGUCUGAUCCAGCAAUUCUGUGUGCACGAUGAAGUUUUUCGGAAUGUAAAGUGCUUUCAGUUGAGAAGAAAAAAAUGACGGUACCAACAGAAGAAGUGACGGCUAAAUACGUG
rnacentral:rRNA from 1 species